AUUGAACGCUGGCGGCAGGCUUAACACAUGCAAGUCGAGCGAGCGGCGGACGGGUGAGUAAUGUCUGGGAAACUGCCUGAUGGAGGGGGAUAACUACUGGAAACGGUAGCUAAUACCGCAUACCAUCAGAUGUGCCCAGAUGGGAUUAGCUAGUAGGUGGGGUAAGGGCGCACCUAGGCGACGAUCCCUAGCUGGUCUGAGAGGAGGACCAGCCCAACGUGAAUUGAGACACGGUCCAGACUCCGACGGGAGGCAGCAGGGGGGAAGAUUGCACAAUGGGCGCAAGCCUGAUGCAGCCAUGCCGCGGGGGUGAAGAAGGCCGUCGGGUUGUAAAGCACUUUCAGCGAGGAGGCGUUACUCGCAGAAGAAGCACCGGCUAACUCCGUGCCAGCAGCCGCGGUAAUUC
rnacentral:rRNA from 1 species